GAUGAACGCUGGCGGCGUGCCUAAUACAUGCGAGUCGAGCGAACGGACGAGAAGCUUGCUUCUCUGAUGUUAGCGGCGGACGGGUGAGUAACACGUGGAUAACCUACCUAUAAGACUGGGAUAACUUCGGGAAACCGUAGCUAAUACCGGAUAAUAUUUUGAACCGCAUGGUUCAAAAGUGAAAGACGGUCUUGCUGUCACUUAUAGAUGGAUCCGCGCUGCAUUAGCUAGUUGGUAAGGUAACGGCUUACCAAGGCAACGAUGCAUAGCCGACCUGAGAGGGUGAUCGGCCACACUGGAACUGAGACACGGUCCAGACUCCUACGGGAGGCAGCAGUAGGGAAUCUUCCGCAAUGGGCGAAAGCCUGACGGAGCCACGCCGCGUGAGUGAUGAAGGUCUUCGGAUCGUAAAACUCUGUUAUUAGGGAAGAACAUAUGUGUAAGUAACUGUGCACAUCUUGACGGUACCUAAUCAGAAAGCCACGGCUAACUACGUG
rnacentral:rRNA from 1 species